rnacentral:rRNA from 1 species
GUGUCAGCAGCCGCGGUAAAACGUAGGACACAAGCGUUAUCCGGAGUUACUGGGCGUAAAGGGCGUUUAGGCGGGUGAUUAAGUUCGCUAUGAAAGCGCCAGGCUAAACCUGGCGAGGCUGGCGGAUACUGGUCAUCUGGAGUGGGGCAGAGGAAGGUAGAAUUCCGCGUGUAGUGGUGAAAUGCGUAGAGAUGCGGAGGAAUACCAGUGGCGAAGGCGACCUUCUGGGCCCUAACUGACGCUGAAGCGCGAAAGCAUGGGGAGCGAACGGGAUUAGAAACCCCAGUAGUCC